rnacentral:tRNA from 1 species
GCCCCAAUAGCGCAACUGGAUAGAGCAUCAGACUUCGAAUCUGGGGGUUGAGGGUUCAAAUCCUUCUUGGGGCUCCA